rnacentral:rRNA from 1 species
CAUUAGAAGAGUUGAAAACUCCCUAAACCCACUGUAAACCUACCUAUAUCGUUGCUUCGGCGGGCGGCCCCAGGGCGGGGCCUUUCACAGGUGUCCGCUGACGGCCCCUAUAAACUCUUGUUUUUUGGGCACUCUGAGUGAGAUUAAAUGAGUUAAAACUUUCAACAACGGAUCUCUUGGUUCUGGCAUCGAUGAAGAACGCAGCGAAAUGCGAUAAGUAAUGUGAAUUGCAGAAUUCCAGUGAAUCAUCGAAUCUUUGAACGCACAUUGCGCCCAUUGGCAUUCUAAUGGGCAUGCCUGUCCGAGCGUCAUUUCAGUCACUCAGGCCUAUACAGCCUGGCGUUGGGGCAUCUACAGUUGAGUGUAGGCUCUGAAAGAUAGUGGCGGUGUUCGCUAGCACUCCGGGCGCAGUACAUUUCCUUCGCCUAGGACGUCUCGCGGGCUGCCGGCCGUAAAACAGCUUGAAGCUUAGAAGGUUGACCUCGGAUCAGGUAGGAUUACCCGCUGAACUUAAGCAUAUCAAUAAGCGGAGGAAAAGAAACCAACAGGGAUUGCCUCAGUAACGGCGAGUGAAGCGGCAACAGCUCAAAUUUGAAAUCUGGCCUCGGGCCCGAGUUGUAAUUUGUAGAGGAUGCUUUCGGCGUCGGCGCCUUCAGAGUUCCCUGGAAUGGGACGCCAUAGAGGGUGAGAGCCCCGUACGGUGGGAUGCCUAGCCUCUGUAAAGCUCCUUCGACGAGUCGAGUAGUUUGGGAAUGCUGCUCAAAAUGGGAGGUAAAUUUCUUCU